GCUUCGGAAUCUGCCCAGUAGUGGGGAAUAACCAGCCGAAAGGUUGGCUAAUACCGCAUACGUCCUACGGGAGAAAGCGGGGGACCGCAAGGCCUCGCGCUAUUGGAUGAGCCGAAGUCGGAUUAGCUAGUUGGCUGGGUAACGGCCUACCAAGGCGACGAUCCGUAGCUGGUCUGAGAGGACGACCAGCCACACUGGGACUGAGACACGGCCCAGACUCCUACGGGAGGCAGCAGUGGGGAAUAUUGGACAAUGGGGGAAACCCUGAUCCAGCGACGCCGCGUGUGUGAAGAAGGCCUGCGGGUUGUAAAGCACUUUUAGUGGGGAUGAAAAGCCCAGGGAUAACACCUCUGGGUCUUGACCUAACCCACAGAAAAAGCACCGGCUAACUCUGUGCCAGCAGCCGCGGUAAUACAGAGGGUGCGAGCGUUAAUCGGAAUUACUGGGCGUAGAGCGUGCGUAGACGGUUUCGUAAGUCGGGUGUGAAAGCCCCGGGCUCAACCUGGGAAUUGCAUUCGAGACUGCGGAGCUAGGGUGCGGAAGAGGGAAGCGGAAUUUCCGGUGUAGCGGUGAAAUGCGUAGAUAUCGGAAGGAACAUCAGUGGCGAAAGCGGCUUCCUGGUCCAGCACCGACGUUCAGGCACGAAAGCGUGGGGAGC
rnacentral:rRNA from 1 species